GAGUGAUCGAAAGAUGAAAAGCACUUUGGAAAGAGAGUUAAAAAGCACGUGAAAUUGUUGAAAGGGAAGCGCUUGCAAUCAGACUUGUUUAAACUGUUCGGCCGGUCUUCUGACCGGUUUACUCAGUUUGGACAGGCCAGCAUCAGUUUCGGCGGCCGGAUAAAGGCUCUGGGAAUGUGGCCUUCACUUCGGUGAAGGUGUUAUAGCCCAGGGUGUAAUACGGCCAGCCGGGACUGAGGUCCGCGCUUCGGCUAGGAUGCUGGCGUAAUGGUUGUAAGCGACCC
rnacentral:rRNA from 3 species